rnacentral:rRNA from 1 species
GACGAACGCUGGCGGCGUGCUUAACACAUGCCAGUCGAACGGAGAGGCCCUGCUUUUGUGGGGUGCUCGAGUGGCGAACGGGUGAGUAACACGUGAGUAACCUGCCCUUGACUUUGGGAUAACUUCAGGAAACUGGGGCUAAUACCGGAUAGGAGCUCCUGCUGCAUGGUGGGGGUUGGAAAGUUUCGGCGGUUGGGGAUGGACUCGCGGCUUAUCAGCUUGUUGGUGGGGUAGUGGCUUACCAAGGCUUUGACGGGUAGCCGGCCUGAGAGGGUGACCGGCCACAUUGGGACUGAGAGACGGCCCAGACUCCUACGGGAGGCAGCAGUGGGGAAUAUUGCACAAUGGGCGGAAGCCUGAUGCAGCAACGCCGCGUGCGGGAUGACGGCCUUCGGGUUGUAAACCGCUUUCGCCUGUGACGAAGCGUGAGUGACGGUAAUGGGUAAAGAAGCACCGGCUAACUACGUG